GGCGGCAGGCCUAAUACAUGCAAGUCGAGCGCCCGGGCAACCGGGAGCGGCGGACGGGUGAGUAACACGUGGGAACAUGCCCUUUGGUACGGAACAACUCAGGGAAACUUGAGCUAAUACCGUAUGAGCCGGCAACGGGAAAGAUUUAUCGCCAAAGGAUUGGCCCGCGUCCGAUUAGCUAGUUGGUGAGGUAACGGCCCACCAAGGCACCGAUCGGUAGCUGGUUUGAGAGAACGACCAGCCACACUGGGACUGAGACACGGCCCAGACUCCUACGGGAGGCAGCAGUAGGGAAUCUUGGACAAUGGGGGAAACCCUGAUCCAGCCAUGCCGCGUGAGUGAUGAAGGCCUUCGGGUUGUAAAACUCUUUCGACGGGGACGAUAAUGACGGUACCCGUAGAAGAAGCUCCGGCUAACUUCGUGCCAGCAGCCGCGGUAAUACGAAGGGGGCUAGCGUUGUUCGGAAUUACUGGGCGUAAAGCGCGCGCAGGCGGNCUUUCAAGUCAGGGGUGAAAGCCCGGAGCUCAACUCCGGAACUGCCUUUGAAACUGUCAGGCUAGA
rnacentral:rRNA from 1 species